rnacentral:rRNA from 1 species
UAUGUGAUCGUCUCUCGCAUAUCAAUAAGCGGAGGAAAAGAAACUAACAAGGAUUCCCCUAGUAACGGCGAGUGAAGCGGGAAGAGCUCAAAUUUGAAAUCUUAAAGGGUUUCCCUUUACGAAUUGUAGUUUAAAGAAGUGUUUUCUGUUGAGGUUUUGGUAAAAGUUCUUUGGAAUAGGACAUCAUAGAGGGUGAGAAUCCCGUAUUUGACCUUUACUUUCAACUUUGUGAUACACUUUCAAAGAGUCGGAUUGUUUGGGAAUGCAGUCCAAAAUGGGUGGUAAAUUUCAUCUAAAGCUAAAUAUUGGCGAGAGACCGAUAGCGAACAAGUACCGUGAGGGAAGAUGAAAAGAACUUUGAAAAGAGAGUUAAACAGUACGUGAAAUUGUCAAAAGGGAAGCGUUUGACACCAGUGUUGUUUUUCUGAAAAUCAAUUAAAGAACUGUUUAUGCUAAGCUGUUUAGACUUUAUCAGCUAACUGUUUAGUUUUGAGCUUUUCUUUAAUGCACUUUUCAGUUAACAAGUCAACAUCAAUUUCUUUUGCUGUAAAAAAGCUUGAGGAAGGUGGCUUGAGAUUCGUCUUAAGUGUUUAUAGCCUCUUGCCUAUGCAGUCGGAGAGAUUGAGGUCUGCAGCGUAGAUCCUUCGGGGCUAAAUGCAUUUGUGCUAAGUUAUAGCAUUUUAUAGACAACUUGUUGACUAUGAUUUGUCUUGUAGCUUACUCGCUUAUGUUAUUUUACCUACGCUUAGGAUGUUGAUAUCGCGCUCUCACUG